rnacentral:lncRNA from 1 species
AAGCAUACAGUGGGUGCCAAGAUUGAAGUAGAACACCUGGUUACUUGGCCCUUCAGCCAGGGCUUCCUGUCUGUGGAUUUAAGGGUCUUGGGCCUCCCUGCUCCCCAGUGCCUCGUCUAGCCUCUUCCCUGCCUUUCCUCGCACAUGCUGACCCUUGGCUGUCCUCACAGUUUCAUAGUCCACAUGCGGAAGCUGGACCUGAAAGCAACCGUAAUGUGGGAGCCCAGAGGGGCACCCGAGGAGUGAGCCCAGAGCCGGGUGGUGGGAAUGAAGAUUCCCUGGAAAAGAUCUAAUCUUCUAAGUAAAGGAUGAGGAGGAGUGGGCCAGGCAAAGAAAGAUCCUGUUUGAAGUUUGGAGCCACAGGAGCAAGUGUGGGAGGUGGAAGCAAGGAGACAGCAGUCCCAUCUUCAGUCAAAGAUGAGAAAACUGAGGAACAAAGAGGAUACACAGCUUACUCAAAGAUACACAUCUGUGGUCGAGUGCAGUGGCUCAUGCCUGUAAUCCCAGCACUUUGGGAGGCCGAGGUGGGUGGAUCACUUGGGGCCAAGAGUUAGAGACUAGCCUGGCCAACAUGGUGAAACCCCGUCUCUACUAAAAACAAAAAUUAUCCAGGUGUGGUGGUGGGCGCCUGUAAUCCCAGCUACUUGGGAGGCUGAGGCACAAGAAUCAUUUGAAGCCUGGAGACAGAGGUUGCAGUGAAGCAAGAUCACACCAAUGCACUCCGGCCUUGGUGACAGAGUGAGACUCUAUCUCAACAAAAAUAAAAAAUAGAAAUAAAAUAAAGAGAAGAUACACACCCAGUAAAUGGUGGAACUCGUAGGAACCCUAUCCGUGAGCGUGUGUGUGUGAGACUGUCGGGUUGUGUGAGUAACUAAGGUUGGCCUUGGGUAGAUACUGGAAGCAUC